AAUAAGAGCAGCCUACAACUGUCUGGCUGUUACAUUGUUACUAAAGAUCUGAAUCAAUUUUAUUCAAAAUCUUCCACAGAAGCGCUUCAAAGCAUGGAAAAAUAUCCUAGUAAUAAACAAAGCCAAAAGGGGGGUAAAACAGAUCACAUGCCGUCGAAAAAGCUAACAGUCCUCGGUGCUCCAUCUUGCCACAACAUAAAAAAUAUACAAAGAUUUGUUUUCUUUAUAAACAUUAAUGAACUGAAUUUCACCUGAAAAAAAGAAAAACUUUUUUGAGUCUUAACAUUCAUCGAAGUUCAUAGGAACGUGUGGUGGGGGCAGAAGAAUUAGAUGAAGCAUAUAGUCCGUACACUGGUUGGGAGGAGGGGGUAAAAAAUCCAAAAAUUCUUCCGAUCCUCGGGACUGAAGAAGAGGGUGGCGGCUCCGGUGCUGAUGGGCGACUGAAGAGACGACUGAUUUGCUUCCUCAGGCCUUUGCUUAGUUUUUUGGGCAUUGAUUUCAAUGACCAAUAUUUUUUUGCGAUUUUUGGACUGUGAUUUGAACCUUAAAACAUUCUACAGUUUUUGUUUCCAUGAUGGGGCGAAAAAAGAAAAACUCUCUUUAAAAGGUAUGCGCUCCUUUAAAUAUCCUUUGCGCCCAAGCCCCUUCCUUUCAGUGAACGCCCCCCAGAAAUAACAUCUUCCGCCAUGUCACAUCCUAGUGCAUCUACCCUUUAAAGGACGUUUUUAAUUAAAAAUUAAAAAAUAAAUUAAAAAUAAAUGGGUCCCCAUUGGGUUAUUGAAAAAUUUAUGUUAAAGUGGGUGACAUCUAAUAUGGCUGCCAUAUAGUGCACCAUCCUUUUAAGGACAAUUCUAAUUAACAAAAAGUGUCCCCAUUGGGUUAUCAAAAUGUUUUUUGGGUGACCUCUAAUAUGGCCGCUUGGGGUGGAUUAAGGGUGAUCUGGGCCCACCAGUAUUGAAGACCAGGGGUCACUUACCAAUUACUAUAUAGCACCUGGCAAAAAAAUUUUCUUUUUUUUUAAUUAUUUUUAAUUUUAUUAAAAUUAUUAUUUAUUAUUUUUUUGUGUGCACAAAACAAAAAGUUUGGUUUAUAGUUGAGCAUUCUGGCCUUAACGAAACAUUCCUCAAACUAUUAUAUAUAAGAAUUAUUUGACAGAUCAAGUAGAAGAAAAAGUUAUUGAAUCACUCAAAGUUGAGGGGAAAUUAGGGCAAAAAAUACCAACACAAAUCUAAUUUUUUUUUAAAUUUUCUGCAGGUUAAAGGGGUACUCCGCCCAUAGACAUCUAAUCCCCUAUCCAAAGUAUAGAGGAUAAGAUGUCGGAUCACGGGGGUCCUGCCACUGGGGACCCCCCAAAAUCUCAGCUGCGGCACCCCAGACAUCCGGUGCACGGAGCGAACUUCACUCCAUGUCAUAUGACUGCCGAUGCGGGGCGGAGGCUCGUGGCGUCACGGUCACGUCACGCCCCAUCCCAUAGACUUGCAUUGAGGGGGCAUGGCUGUGACGUCACAAGUGGGGCGCGGCCGUGACAUCACGAGCCUCCAGCGCUGAACCUGAUGCUCUGAACGACGGGACUCCCGCGAUCAGACAUCUUAUCCCCUAUCCUUUGGAUAGGAGAUAAGAUGUCUAGGGGCAGAGUACCCCUUUAAGGGAAAGCCCUUAAUAGAUCUUACCGAGCUGUGGACGAAAACAUGGCCAGAACAAAAAAAAGAGCUGUGAAUUGAAUCAAUGGAAAGGAUUAUUAGACUAACUUGGAGUGUGCAAGAUGAUGUUGGUUGUUCCCACUCAGCUGUAUGUAAAAUUUGUGCAAGAAUAUAUAAAUGCAAAGGAUAUAAAAGGAAAGCAUAAAGGUGGAGCAAGGAAGAUAUCACAGCAACAGGACAGAAACUAAAGAAUAAAAACAACAACAAUAAAUGGUUUGACAACCAUUUUUUGUUUUGCCAGACUUUUGACAAAAAUACGCAUGUAUGGCAAAUUAUAUCUGUAAAUGUUACCAUGUGUGAUCUUAGCCUAAGAAUGAGCCCAAUUUUAUGAAUCAGUUUUUUGUGAAAUCUGGCGCACCUUUACAUGGUCAAAAUUAAUUAAGUUAAGCUUCGCCCCUUUUAUUGAGGCCGCACAGCAAGUAAGGCUGGGUUCACUGGGGUUUUGCCAUACUGUUUUCAAUCAGUUUAAAAAAAAAUAAUUUAAAAAAAACGUAUGGCAAAAAAACGGAUGGAACAGUAUGGGAAAAAGUAAACCGUAUGCGUUUUUAAACAGUAUACUGUAUUUAAAAGUGCAUUUCCAUCCGUUUUUAUAAAAUAAUGAUGAAACACGCUUUUGAAAAUGUUGUCAAUUUUUAAUGGGAGGGGUGUUGGGUGGGGACUUUAGGAUGCAAAUGCGCAUGUGCAAAGUAAAAUCCAUAUACGGUUUCCCGUAUGGAAACAGUCUACGGUUUUUACUUUGCACAUGCGCAAAGAUAGAUAUGAUAUAGAUAGAUAGAUAUGAGAUAGAUAUGAGAUAUAGAUAGAUAGAUAUGAGAUAGAUAUGAGAUAUAGAUAGAUAGAUAGAUAUGAGAUAGAUAUGAGAUAUAGAUAGAUAGAUAGAUAUGAGAUAGAUAUGAGAUAUAAAUAGAUAGAUAGAUAUGAUAGAGAUAGAUAUAUAUGAGAUAGAUAGGUAGAUAAUAUAGAUAGAUAGAUAGAUAAUAUACUGUAGAUAGAUGUGAGAUAGAUAGAUGUGAGAUAGAUAGGUAGACACAUUUGAGAUAGGUAGAAAUGCAAGCGCAUUUACGCAAAGCAAAAACAACCGCGAAUAUGCGAAUUUCGCGAAUAUAGGAUGAAUAUUCAUCCACAUAUUUGCAAAAUAUCGCGAAUUCAAAUAUGGCAUAUGCCGCUCAUCACUAAUAGCAAACAUAUGCUGCUCUGGACAGUUCCUAAAAUGGACAGAGAUGUCAGCAGAGAGCACUGUGCUCGUGAUCUCACCAGAGAGCUCUGUGUUCCAAAAAGAAAAUAAUUUCCUCUGUAGUAUUUAGCAGCUAAUAAGUACUGGAAGGAUUAAGAUUUUUUUUAAUAGAAGUCAUUUAAAAAUCUGUUUAAUGGCACCAGUUGAUUUAACAAAAAAAAAAAAAAUGUUUUCCACCGGAGUACCCCUUUAAGGUGUAGAAAACUCGUUCACCUACACCACCCUUGAUAAAUUUCCCCUAUAGAGUGUGAAGCAGUGUUUUCUAAGCAGGGUGCCUCCAUUUGUUGCAAAACUACAAUUCCCAGCAUGCCCGGACAGCCAAAGGCUGUCCGGGCAUGCUGGGAAUUGUAGUUUUGCAACAAAUGGAGGCACCCUGGUUGGGAGGACAGAAGGAAAAUUAUUAUUAGCGAUCAGUUAUCAAUUUGCAUUGGCCAUAUAGAUAAUACAGGAAUUGGGAACAACCAACAUCUUCUGCCACACUCUGUGUUGGAUUUUCAUUUUAUUGCGAUUCAAGUGAAACAUAGAAAGAUGAUAUCUGGCAAACCAAUGACAUUUCUCAUUAUUUAUAAUACAGGGCUGCAUGUCAGAUGAAAGGGAUGAAAGAUGGCGAUCAUGACCUCAGCAGUCAGCGCACUCAUUGGGGUACGGUAAAAUUUUGGACACUUUUCUCAUACCAUCAAUGCAAAAUAGACUUGUUGAUAGUGAAGUCAUUGUCGAGGAUAGUAAUCUAUCCUAUCACAGUGCAAAGAACCUUUUCUUUAGGAUAGGCAUCUUUAAUUUUAUAUUAUAAUAUUUAAUAUUAUAAUAUUCUUAAUCAUUCGGUUUUUUUUUCACAUGCAAAAUUUUAUGCAAAUUUUCCAUGGAAACAAGUGUUGAGGAUGAAUAUUCGUAAUGCAAAUUUUUAAGGCAAACAUCAGCACUUCCCCAUUUCGGGAAUAUUUAGAAUAAAGUGCUACAUAUUCAUAAUGACGAACAUUCGUUUUUUAUUUUUAUGAAUUUUUUUUUUUUAACAUGCAAAUUUUCCAUGGAAACAAGUGUUGAGCAUGAAUAUUCGUAAUGCGAAUUUUUAUCACGAACAUCGGCACUUCGCCAUUUCGGGAACAUUUAGAAUAAAGUGCUAUAUAUUCAUAAUGCCGAAUAUUCGUUUUUAAUUUUUAUUAAUUUUUUUUUCACAUGCAAAUUUUUAUGCACAUUUUCCAUGGAAACAAGUGUUGAGCAUGAAUAUUCGUAAUGCAAAUUUUUAAGGCGAACAUCAGCACUUCCCCAUUUCGGGAAUAUUUAGAAUAAAGUGCUAUAUAUUCAUAAUGACGAAUAGUCGUUUUUUUUUUAUGAAUUUAUUUUUUUUCACAUGCAAAUUUUUGUGCAAAUUUUUCAUGGAAACAAGUGUUGAGCAUGAUUAUUCGUAAUGCAAAUUUUUAUCGCGAACAUCGGCACUUUGGGAUUUCGGGAAUAUUUAGAAUAUAUUCGUAAUGAUGAAUAUUCUUUUUUUUUUUUUUUCACGUGCAAAUUUUUAUGCAAAUUUUCCAUGCAUGAAAAAUUUGCAUAAAAAUUUGCAUGUGAAAAAAAAAAAAAAAAACUAACAACAAUUUUCGAAUGGGAAAAAAAAGUGAAGGAACAUAGUGAAUGUGAAUUUCGCGAACAUAGGACAAAUAAUCGUCAAUAUAUUCACGAAAUAUCGCGAAUUCCAAUAUGGCCCCUGCCGCUCAUCACUAUUCUCUACUUGAUCUGGAAAAACAUCUGCCAUUAACAUUUAUUUUUUCCUUCCGAGGGAUUGUUCAUGAAGCCAGAAUGACUGUUCUGUUAUAUCUGUAAUUUGUGGAUUUGAGUAAAAAAAAACGAAAAAAAAAAAAAACAACAAAUAAAGUGGGCAACCAUCCUCGUGUUGGGGUUCCAUAAUUUUUGCCAGGAGAUGUAGCCUUGGUAAACAAAUGAAAAAAAAAAAAAAUAA